UUCGCCCCGGGAUGCCGGACGCGGAUGCAGAGCCGGUUCCCUCGGCCGAGCCGCUUCCCUCAGAAAUCGCACAAUCCCCCUGAACAUCCCUUCAGCGACCACGACGUCUUAGCUACCGCCUUCGGGGGAGCCCUUCGUGUUUUAGCAGCCUUGGAGGCGAAAUGUGGGAAGAAAUAGAGCUUUGUGACGAUUCCCAGCGAAUGCAUUUUAGCCUGUGAGAGGAAGGUAAAUCCAUGUUUUGGGUGAUCAGACUGUGAUAACGAUCAUGGCAAAGCUGCAAAGUGUAAGACCAGAACUGCACGUUGUGUAUUGAUUAAACAGAGACAUAAUAAACUAA